rnacentral:rRNA from 1 species
UACGUAGGGGGCAAGCGUUGUCCGGAUUUAUUGGGCGUAAAGCGCGUGUAGGCGGCUGGGUAGGUCCGCUGUGAAAACUCGAGGCUCAACCUCGAGACGUCGGCGGAAACCAUCCAGCUAGAGUCCGGAAGAGGAGAGUGGAAUUCCUGGUGUAGCGGUGAAAUGCGCAGAUAUCAGGAAGAACACCCGUGGCUAAGGCGGCUCUCUGGGACGGUACUGACGCUGAGACGCGAAAGCGUGGGGAGCGAACAGG